CCUACGGGAGGCAGCAGUGGGGAAUAUUGGACAAUGGGCGCAAGCCUGAUCCAGCCAUGCCGCGUGAGUGAUGAAGGCCCUAGGGUUGUAAAGCUCUUUCACCGGAGAAGAUAAUGACGGUAUCCGGAGAAGAAGCCCCGGCUAACUUCGUGCCAGCAGCCGCGGUAAUACGAAGGGGGCUAGCGUUGUUCGGAAUUACUGGGCGUAAAGCGCACGUAGGCGGAUACUUAAGUCAGGGGUGAAAUCCCAGAGCUCAACUCUGGAACUGCCUUUGAUACUGGGUAUCUCGAGUAUGGAAGAGGUGAGUGGAAUUCCGAGUGUAGAGGUGAAAUUCGUAGAUAUUCGGAGGAACACCAGUGGCGAAGGCGGCUCACUGGUCCAUUACUGACGCUGAGGUGCGAAAGCGCGGGGAGCAAACAGGAUUAGAUACCCUGGUAGUCCACGCCGUAAACGAUGAAUGUUAGCCGUCGGGUAGCAUGCUAUUCGGUGGCGCAGCUAACGCAUUAAACAUUCCGCCUGGGGAGUACGGUCGCAAGAUUAAAACUUAAAGGAAAUUGACGG
rnacentral:rRNA from 1 species